GACGAACCGUGCAAACGUUGUUCGGAUUCACUGGGCUUAAAGGGCGCGUAGGCGGGUGGUCAAGUCAGGGGUGAAAUCUUUCAGCUCAACUGGAAAACAGCUUCUGAUACUGGCCAUCUUGAGGGGGGUAGGGGCAUGUGGAACUUCCGGUGGAGCGGUGAAAUGCGUAGAUAUCGGAAGGAACGCCGGUGGCGAAAGCGACGUGCUGGACCUUUUCUGACGCUGAGGCGCGAAAGCCAGGGGAGCAAACGGG
rnacentral:rRNA from 1 species